rnacentral:lncRNA from 1 species
GUGCUGUCAGGUGAAUGGCUAAACACAGACCUCUUUCUGCACUGAAGUUCCAUCAAAUGGUCUGACUGACUUCUGUUAUGUGUACCUGCAUGGAAUUAGAAAGGAGUUGGAGAAACAAGAACUGAGAACCCACAGAUGAGAAAAUAGGGUGCUUAAGAAUGAAUUGCUGAUUUCCCUAUAACAGGACCUGUAUGAUCCACAGGCCCCUUGGAGAUGGCUGUUUUCCAGACUCCAAACUAUCGUGUCACACAGGUGGGAAAUGAAGUGUCUUUCAAUUGUGAGCAGACUCUGGGCCACGAUGUUAUGUACUGGUACAAGCAAGACUCUAAGAAAUUGCUGAAGAUUAUGUUCAGCUACAAUAAUAAGCAACUCAUUGUAAACGAAACAGUUCCAAGGCGCUUCUCACCUCAGUCUUCAGAUAAAGCUCAUUUGAAUCUUCGCAUCAAGUCUGUGGUGCCAGAUGACUCUGCUGUGUAUCUCUGUGCCAGCAGCUAAGACACAGUUGUGCACAGUCACUCUUUCCCUGUGCACAAACCCAGCCAGCCAGGAAGCAGUGCAAGCCAAGUGCUAACCCACACCUGAGGCUCCGUGCCCCCAGAGCUUUUGAAUGGUAUUUCAGUCUGAAGUCCAGCCUUCUAUGAUAAUACAUGAGGUGAACCAGUUCUGUGUUUUAUGCACAGAUGAGUCUCACAGAAUUCUACAGAUUAGACAGAAUGGUAGUUCACAUCAUAGUCACCCAGAUGCUCUGAGUGACUUACUUCUUAUAGAAGUCCAGUUUUAUCCUAGUGUUUGAAUGCAUUGUGAAGGGUCAAGUUCAGCAUCGUUCUCACUAUUAGGUAACCCUAGCACGUAGCUAUUAUUGCCAGUAAGCAGACUUUCCAUUGAAGUUGAAGUGUGCUUACUUAUCAAUGUCUCUCCCAUGUACUGGGGUUGAAUCCUGGAGUUUUCUAUCCCUAAGUGUCUGCUGAAAACCCUUCUCAGCUCUCCAGCCUUCUAGACUAUUCUCCACUCAGGCUUCGGGUAGCCCAUCCCCUGCAUGCACAAACUGAAUAGUGUUCUCCCUCUUCAAAAAUGUCUUUACUCAGAUUUUUGGGUCUACUUUGCACUUCUAUGUGCCCCAAGAUCUAUCUGUAUUAGAAUUUUUUUUUUUACCUUCAAGCACCAUGCAUUAUGGUAAUUUUUCAGUAUAAGCACAGCAGUAAGUGAAUACUCCAACUUAUUUAGGGAUUGCGGAUCAUUUUACUGUGUUUAUUAGUAUCCUUACAUUUCCUAGACUAAAAACAAAGACUCAAGACUUUCAUAAAAAUAAGUUGGAAUAAAGAUAAUGUCUGAUGGCUAAGUGGUAAAGUGAAUAUACAUUUUAUUCAAGGGAAUAGAAGUUACCACAGUGGACCACCCCAGUUCAUCUCCAUUGGAAGGCCAUGGGACAUCAUGAUGAGGCUAGUUCCAUUUCUGACAUUGCAAAAAUGGACAGAACUGGGGAUAUUCCAUCCCAGUUUCUCUGGUUGUAUAGAUGAUAAAUUGUACUAUACAUAGGAAAUGAUUUAAAUGCUACAAAACAAAUGACAUCCUUAAAUGUAUUAGAAUUUUAUUUUAUAGUUGUUAUCUAUGAAUACUCUUAAUUGUCCUGCUAAUCUGUAGAUGAACAUAGUAUUUUGUUUCCUGCUCUCAAUCACUGGUCACUGAAGAUGGAAUAAACUAAUUUAGUCCAUAAACUC